ensembl:lncRNA novel transcript
GGCUUUCGAGAUUUGGCGCGGCCUUUGUCUCUGGCUGCAGUCGUAGCUCCAGGUCUUUUCUUCUCUGUUCUGUGUCUUCUGCUCCUAGAGGCCCAGCUUCUGUGUCCCUGUGACCUGUAGGUAUUGGGAGAUCCACAGCUAAGAUGCCAGGACCCCCUGGGAAGCCUAGAAAAAUGGUUCUGCCUGCAAAGAAGAUUGUGACAUAUUGCUGGUUGCAACACCACGGUGAUGUUACUUUUUGCCUUCUCACUGCCCUCAGAAGGCAUUGUGAUAUGUUGGUGGUCCCAGCUUCAAAGAAAUGUUCUGCCUGUAGAAAAGAUUGUAACAUAAUGCUGGGCCCAACUUCAAGGUGGCAUUACUUUUUUGACUUGGCCUUGCUCUCAGAAGACAUUAUAACAUACUGCUGGGCCCAGAACCAAGGUGAUGUUAAGUCUUCUGACUAAAACCUACCCACAGAAGACAUUGUGACAUAUCUCUGGGCCCAUCAACUAUUUGAUGUGACUCUACUCUUAUCUGAGUUUUUUUAAUAAAAGAGAUUUUGACAUA